GGUCGGUUCGGCCGGAUUUCACACAGGUGUUGCAUGGCUGUCGUCAGCUCGUGUCGUGAGAUGUUGGGUUAAGUCCCGCAACGAGCGUAACCCUCAUUCUUAGUUGCCAUCAGGUAAUGCUGGGGACUUUAAGGAAACUGCCAGUGAUAAACUGGAGGAAGGUGGGGAUGAUGUCAAGUCAUCAUGGCCCUUAUGGAGUGGGCUACACACGUGCUACAAUGGUGGCUACAAUGGGCUGCAAAGUCGCGAGGCCAAGCUAAUCCCUUAAAAGCCAUCUCAGUUCGGAUUGUACUCUGCAACUCGAGUGCAUGAAGUUGGAAUCGCUAGUAAUCGUGGAUCAGCACGCCACGGUGAAUACGUUCUCGGGUCUUGUACACACUGCCCGUCACGCCAU
rnacentral:rRNA from 1 species